UACGAGGGUGGCAAGCGUUGUUCGGAUUUACUGGGCGUACAGGGAGCGUAGGCGGUUCGGUAAGCCCUCUGUGAAAUCUCCAGGCUUAACCUGGAACAGUCGGAGGGGACUGCUGGGCUAGAGGACGGGAGAGGAGCGCGGAAUUCCCGGUGUAGCGGUGAAAUGCGUAGAGAUCGGGAGGAAGGCCGGUGGCGAAGGCGGCGCUCUGGAACGUUUCUGACGCUGAGGAGCGAAAGCCAGGGGAGCAAAGCGGG
rnacentral:rRNA from 1 species